ACGCUCGACACCUACGGAGGCAGCAGUGGGGAAUAUUGCACAAUGGGGGAAACCCUGAUGCAGCGACGCCGCGUGGAGGAAGAAGGUCUUCGGAUUGUAAACUCCUGUUGUUGGGGAAAAAGAGGAUGGUACCCAACAAGGAAGUGACGGCUAACUACGUGUCAGCAGCCGCGGUAAUCUGAGCGGGCUGGCAAGGC
rnacentral:rRNA from 1 species